rnacentral:misc_RNA from 1 species
GAUGAAGAACGUAGCGAAAUGCGAUAAGUAAUGUGAAUUGCAGAAUUCAGUGAAUCAUCGAAUCUUUGAACGCACAUUGCGCCCGCCAGCACUCUGGCGGGCAUGCCUGUUCGAGCGUCAUUUCAACCAUCAAGCCCCCAGGGGCUUGUGCUGGGGCCCUGCGGCUGCCCGCAGGCCCUGAAAACCAGUGGCGGGCUCGCUAGUCACACCGAGCGCAGUAGCACAUCUCGCUCAGGGCGUGCGGCGUGCUCCUGCCGUGAAACCCCCCACUGUAACCCCAAAGGUUGACCUCGGAUCAGGUAGGAAUACCCGCUGAACUUAAGCAUAUCAAUAAGCGGAGGA